UACGUAGGCGGCUUUUUAAGUCGGAUGUGAAAUCCCUGAGCUUAACUUAGGAAUUGCAUUCGAUACUGGGAAGCUAGAGUAUGGGAGAGGAUGGUAGAAUUCCAGGUGUAGCGGUGAAAUGCGUAGAGAUCUGGAGGAAUACCGAUGGCGAAGGCGGCUUACUGGACGGUAACUGACGUUGAGGCUCGAAAGCGUGGGAGCAAACA
rnacentral:rRNA from 1 species